CUACCGGCGCAGCGGUUCAACCCCGCCGAGGAGUACCACCAGCAGUACCUCGAGAAGGGCGGGCAAUCUGCCACCUCGUCAUCUCCUUCGUCCCUCGUUGUCCAGUUGCGCUACGACUGUACAUUCGAAUCAAAAUACGACAUCAUCUUCAACCUAAUCAGUAGAUUGGAAUGGGACCUGUUCACUCGGAUCUGAAGAUGAAGAAAUCGGUGAGUGAUUUCCCCCUCUCUUCUCUAGCCCACCCCCUCAUCUCUAGCUGGUCCUGCGGUCGGGAUUCGGUUGGCGCAAACUUGCUGGCACAGUCAAAUGCGGCCACGCACCUUCAACAGCCCGGUUCCGAACAGUGUUGGGCCACAACACCAGCUCGG
rnacentral:lncRNA from 7 species